UGUUUCUCAUGAUGUGCUGCACUGGGCUCAGAAUCACUGUUGAUGAUCGUGCAACUUUGCCCUUGACAAGGCAGAGUCUGAUGAGACG